GUGAUGACUACAACCUCAAGUUGCGUAAAUUUUUGGAAAUUCAGUAAUUUUAUUAAGAUGCAAUGCUGAAAGUAGUUCCUCUUAUUAGAUUACCGCAGCAGUGGUUCACGAUUUCUUUAUGUGGCGGGUGGACGUGGGCACCGGAUUUACCUUCUGGCUCGAGGUUCAGAGAACUUAAGUGAAGUUCCUUGGAAUUCCCACUGUAAUGGAAAACCUGAAACGAAUAAACUUCA